rnacentral:sRNA from 1 species
GUUCGCACUCAUCGGGGAAGGGUGAGAACCUUCGACUAAGGUUCGAUUCGAGCGAAAGCGAGAGAACGUUGCCACAGGCAACGGCCCGAAGGGUGAGGAGC